GUGUGCGCAGGCAUCUUCCCAGCCUACAUGUGGAUUCAUGAAUCUGCAGGCUGGUUAGAUGGUUGUCAUGCAU
rnacentral:pre_miRNA from 1 species